GACGACCUUGACCAGCCAAAACGCAAAUCCACCCAACUCCCUCGCCGCUCUGCGGCCGGCCAACCCAACCAACUCCCUCGCCGGAGUCGCCGCCGGACAGCCCCUCUGCCUCCCCUGAUUCCCCUAGACGCCGGCUUCAAGGUCCUCGUCAUCUGGAGCGCGCCUGGAGCUGGGCGCCCCCGUCGUGGCGCCUCCCGUCGACGCACCAGUCGUGGGCGACGGCCGCCAUGUCUCCCUCCACCCGCCUCAAUCUCUGCCUCGACGCACCAGUCCUGGGCGACGGCCCAAGCUGCAGCAGCAGCAACAACAGAGGCCGGCGUUAGAGGUGGAGAACCUCCUCCAUAGCGUCCGUGGAGGUGGAGCUCGCCUCGGGGAGACAAGGAGGGACGAGAUGGUGGUCGCCUUCUUGGAGAUGCGGCCGCCGGCGACCUCCUGUACAACCUCCCCGAGCUGUGGCCGCCGGCGACGUCCCCCAUCCGCUGCUGCCGGAGACCACUCCGUCCCUCUGCCGUCGGCCACCUCCCCAACUUGCAGCUGCCCGGUGAGGACUUGGAGGAGGAACACAUUGAGGACCUUGCUUUGUUAGAUCCAUCAUCGUCCACUAACUCCAUGAAAGAUCCUGUUGAAAGUUCAAACUGAACAAAGCUUUGCACCAUGGGUGCUGAGAAGCAAGAGACCAAUGGUGGUAAAAGACAGUGUUGCUGCUGCUGCCGCUGUGUUGGUCGGAACACGUGGCCAGCUCGGUCAGCAGCGUCAGCGGGAUGAGGAUGUCGAGAAUGUGAAGUGCAGCUACAAGCCGCUGGAGCUGGCAUUGACAAGAAAGAAGACAACAUUGUUGGUAGCUGUGACUUGGAGGAGGAACACAUUGAGGACCUUGAUCUUUAAGAUCCAUUAUCGUCCACUAAGGGUGUGUUCGGUUCUAGAACCGAGUGGAAUGGAACGGAACCAUUCCGCACCUAGAGCCAAUUCUUGUGUUCGGUUGUGAAAUGGAACGGAACCGAGUGGUUCCUCGAAAGGGAAUAUUCUCUCCAUAUGCGGAAUGCACCCAUUCCACCAAAUCGGUGGAAUGUGGUGGAAUGGCUGUUAGUUAGCCAGUGUUAAUUACGAAGCACUCCACUAAUCCGGCCGAAAAAUAAUUAGCCAUUGUUAAUUACGAUUUUGAGAUUAACAAGGCCAUUUACCACUAUUAAUUACCAUUUUGAGAUAAAAGAUUAAACUUUAACCUCAUUUAGUUCUACUCUCCAAAUUCCCCCAACCGAAAAAAAUAAUAUUAAUUAUGAUUUUGAGAUUAAAAAGGUCAUUAGGCAUUGUUAAUUACGAUUUUGAGAUUUAAAUUACUAUUUGCCAUUGUUAAUUACGAUUUUGAGACAAAAGUUUAAUUUAACCACAUUCCGUUCUGCUCUCCAAUUCCUCCAACCGAACAAAAAACGGUAUCAUUCCGUUUCUCUUUUUUGUCCAAACCGAACACGGGGAUGGAACCAUUCCAUUCCUCAGGAACGGAACCAUUCCAUUCCAUCCCACGCCAUUCCAGAACCGAACACAUCCUAAGUGAAAGUACUGCUCUUUCUAUUCCCUUUAUUCUGUUAUGAGCACUCAUGCAGUUUAGUUAACGCAGCUGAAAGAGCAGCAUGCAACAAUGUCCUCAACGUCAAGCCGGUAGUUGAAAAGGUAUCCACCACUAUAGCAACAACCUUCUUGUAGAUGGCUCCCACCAUAUCUCAUUCUCCUUUCUCCACUCAAUUUGCUGACACCACCACAACCGCUCAGUGCUGCUCCCCGCUACUCAUCUCACCUCGCUGCUCAGCGGCCGGCCACGCCACCACAUCCACCCAACUCCCUCGCCACUAGACACCCCCACCCACCUAAUCACCUCCGCCCCUGCUUCUGGCGCAUCCGCCAUGCCCAAGAUGUCGGCGUCAAGAACUUCCGCCUUGUGCUUUUCCUCGCCAUCCGGAGCCCUGUUGACCUGGGCUGCUGGCGCCCCUUCGCCCCUUCCUGCCUUGAUGCACCAAUCGCGGGAAACGACACAAGCAGCUGCCGAUAUUGGCGCUGGAGCUGGAGGACUCCUGCACGGCGUCUGCGUCCUGCCUCUGUGGAGCUCGCUGCAGAGAUGCAAGGGGCAGGAGAUGGUCCCCACCUUCAUGGAGAGGCAGCUGCCGUCAGAGACAUUCUGGAAAACCUCCCCGAGCUGCGGGUGCCACCAACGUCCUGCUGCCGGAGACCAUUCCGUCUCGCCGUCUCGGCCACACCCUAAACUUCCAUCUGCCAGGCUUAGUGCUAAUGCUUGCAUGGCCCUGAUGAUUCAGUGGAUUAGUCCACCAAUCUACUGGAGAAAACCACUCAAUGCAACAUUUAUUCUGUUAUGAGCGCUCAUGCAACAUUUUCCAAGUUCCGAGUACUAAAUUUCAAACUGAACAAUUUGCACCCUGGGUGCUGAGAAGCAAGAGACCAAUGGCGGUACAAGACCGUGCUGAUACCGUGUUGGUCGACACAUAUGACCAACUCAACCAUAAACAGCGGCGUCGGUGGGAUGAGGACAUCGAGAAUGUGAAGUGCAGCUGCAAGCUGUUGUAGCUGGCAUGUACAAGAAAGAAGACAACAUUGUUGGUAGUUGUGCGAGUUUAGUGUAUCGCUGCACUACAUCUUCCUAUCAGUUUAGUUAAUGCAGCCGAAAGAGUAGCAUGCAGCGGUGUCCUCGGCAACAUGCCGGUAGUUGAAAUGGUAUCCAGCACUAUGACGACGACCACCUCGUAGUUCGCUCCCACUGCAUCUCUCCCUCAAACCCCUUCCUCCACUCAAUUUGCUGUCACUGGCGGAACCAUUCGGUGCUGCUCACCUCACCUCGCCACUCAGCGGCCGGGCAUCCCACCACACCCACCCAACUCCCUUGCCGUCAAACACCCCCGCUGACCCAAUCCCCUCUGCCCCUGAUUCCCGCACGCCCGCCAUGCCCAAGACGUUGGCUUCAAGUGUUUAAUGAAUGACAUAUCCGGGCGCGGGCCACAUGAGGAUGUUGUGGACAUCUCCUCCCUGACCACCGGUGCCAGGGAGGUCCCAUACAGGAACAUCAAGACCAUUGCUCCCUCUAUGAAUCGACCAGCCAUUUUUCUCCCUGUUGAUGGUCGUCCAAGAUAAGACCUGACGCUCCUGAUCGAUGCCUUAGUUUUCAUACAUCUGGCCACUGGGAGUACUGGGGCAGUAUGGUUGGGCAUAUCUAGGCUGGAUACAUGGGAAUGAGGCGACUUCCAAGGCACAUCGCAACUGUUUCUUGUGUCGUGGAAGUGAACAUUUCUUCUCUGUUGUCCUGUCCUGUCGGUAAUUGGCGAGCCAAGCCUCUUUUGUCAGUGGUAGCUGGACGUGAUGCUGGAGCUGUACAUAGUGCAAUCAGCAGAUUGCGUGGUGCUCGCAAAGGGGGAAGUGGAUUCAGCUCUGAUGCAGCAGCAGGGAGGAGUUGAGCUGCCAGGAGGGAGCUUAUUCUUGAAUCACUUUUCUUGUGAUUAUAAUGUUCCAGUACUGCUGAAUCAAUCUUUGCCUAGGCAGAAGCCAGCGCUACAGGGAUAAGGAAUGUGCAGGAAACUGAAGGCGAUGUGGAGACAAACACAAUGCUUGUCCUGAGCGUCCCUUGAGAUAUACAAGGACAUGCUCCACUCUAAGCUGACGCUGGGAGGUUAGCAGCGGGCGGAAGAGGCGGUCGCCGCUGCUAAUAUGUGGUCCGUCUUGACCCGGUGUGCUCAGGCGGCUCUGCUGUGAUUGUCAUGGCUGGUUUUAUACUGGUUGAGUGAUUUCUUGUAAUAUUAAGCAACCUGAUUGUUCGCAUUUUGUCUUUGGUUGAAGUUGUGAGUCUCCGAUGAAUUAUGUGCUGUUAGAUGUCACAAGUGUUGUGUUCUGUGCACUUCUAUUGUCAAGUGUUUUUUGUGUGAUCGAGAUUUCUCAAAAUAUCUGAAUAUAUCAUGCACAAAUUUCGAAUA